AUGUGGCUGCUUUAUAUCCCUGGAGGCCAGUUGAACUGUAUUAUAGUGAAUACUAUUUUCCUCUUCAAUUCCAGAACCAAUUAUUCACUUGAACAAAAGAAGAUGAAUUGUGUGGCAAGUAUAAUUUUCAGUAUUCCAGGGUUCUCCCCUUCAAAGCCAAGGCUCAGAUUGGUGCUGCGGCUGUGGGCAGAUGUGACUUGUCAGGACAGGACUGUCCAGGGGCAAUAGUACAACUCAUUUCAGUUUGUCCCUGUACACACAAUCUGGACUGUCUGCCUCCCCCAUAGAGUCCCCAUGUCCUUCUCAAAGGAAUUUCAGACAGGGCCCCAGGCACCCUGAGUGGCUUGUUUGACUCAAGAUAGAUGAACGGGAUACACUGUGGGGGAAACUAUAUUUUUCUUUUACCUUAUGCCACCAGUACACCAUUGCAGUUCCCUUCAACAAAUGGUUGUUGCUCAAGACAAUACACGGACUGUUGAGAAGCCUUCUAAUAACACGUGUGAAACACAAAGCAUCUGAAAAAUACUGGUUUGAGGAAUAUUGUUUGAAAGGCCUUCAAGUGUUACAGUAUGUAAUACAGCUGUAGUGGUAAGCGAUAGGGAUCAUAGAAUACAAAACAUCUAGACGCUUGUGUUCUGUAUAACUGAUCUCUGUGGGUGCUUUCUCUCCUACACAGGCACAUGAAAAUGGGUCCCAGACAAUGUAACAGUUGUUGGGUGUUUCAGAGGGCUUAUUGUGUUGUUUUGUGUGUCUCGUUCUUGGCUCUGCAGACGAGCAGUCUUGCCUGCCUCCUGCCAUUACAACUCUACUAGAUGCCCAUGCCAAGCAUGUCAUCUGCUAUGGUUACCAACAACUGACAUGUAAAUAUUUGUAGUCCCAAUUACUGUAUCACACAGAGAAAGGGCUGCCUGUUGACUCGCUCCCAGACUAAUUACAUAUCGAUGUUGGGUUCGUUCUGGCGCCGCAGCAGAAAUCAAAGGGGAUCCUGAGACACCAUGCCAAAUAGUCUCAUCUUCACAAAGGGGAAAGGGUAUUAAACUAUGAUAACAGAGUUCUUCUCUCACCAGUCUCUUGGAACUUUCAGUUGAAUCAGAGAACAUAGACCCAUGUGAAAAAUGAAUUUAAUUCAAAUGCAUUACUGCAAAUAAUGCAUUUGUAAAUAUGUUACUGUAAAUAUGAUUUAUUAUUUAUUUGGUUUUCUCCCCAAAUGUAUGCUUAUACUGUAUGUCCCGUAUUAUCGUACACUUUUGUUCCCUUUAGUGAAAACAAAAAAUCAUUAGGAACUCUGGAAUUAGUUUGCAAGUUUACAUCAGUUUGUACAGUUUACACUUGUAAAUGUGUAACUGUAUAGUUAUACAGUAGCCUAUCUUAAAGAUGUCUUCAGAUGUUCCUGAUUUAGAAUAUAUAGAGUUUCAGUUUGAAUAUGACCCAUAUCCUGAUGAAACAAGAGGUAAAUGAUAAACCAAGGUCAUAUCUUAGCAAGAACAAUGGUCAGUCUCAGAUAGCUGAAUGGGUUCUGGCUGCCAGCCCUUUAUGGGGAAAGUUUAAUUAACUAAGUGCUAGUGGUCUUGUCCACAGAGCAUUUCAUGCAAAGAAUAAGGGUCAAGAGGUAAAGGUAGAAUUCAGCUUAGGUGAGGAUAUUUAAAUCCUCCACCUACCAUUGUUCUUUAGCUGUGGCAGAGUGCGUCCUAAAGUUAUAUAGCAGACCUUAUGUGGUGAGUCAGAGGGAGUGACCAUUGUUAUGCUGAUUACAGAAACAAUGACUGAGCCCUAAUGAAGCAUUGAUGACUACACCCCAUAUAGCUCAAUAUUUAUACUUUGUCCUAAUCAAUUGGACCAUAGUCUACACUGUCAAAAAAAAUACUAUUUAGAUCAGUCAAAAAAUAAAAAUACUUCAACUUGUUACAAGUGUCGUGUCUUUACUAUCAUUAACUGAAGA
ensembl:lncRNA